rnacentral:tRNA from 1 species
GUUUAAUUAGUUUAUCUAAAAUUAUAAAUUGUGGAUUUAUAGAAGAAUUUUUUCAUUAAACA